UCAAGCAGAAAGGGCACAGGGCGGAUGCCUUGGCACUAAGGGCCGAAGAAAGACGUGAUAAGCUGCGAUAAGCUUCGGGGAGGAGCAAAUAUCCAUUGAUCCGGAGAUCUCUGAAUGGGGAAACCCACAUGAGCAAACCUCAUGUAUCCAUACGCCAAUCCAUAACGUAUGGAGGGGAACCCGGGGAACUGAAACAUCUAAGUACCCGGAGGAAAAGAAAGAAAACUCGAUUCCGUAAGUAGCGGCGAGCGAACGCGGAAGAGCCUAAACCAGGUCGCGUGCGAUCUGGGGUUACGGACUGCAUUUAAGAUUCUGUAAUGUUAGUAGAACGGUUUUGGGAAAGCCGGCCAGAGAGGGUGAAAGCCCCGUACACGAAAACAGAGCAGACUGAGCAGGAUCCAGAGUACCGCGGGACACGAGAAACCCUGCGGGAAGUAAGGGGGACCACCCCCUAAGGCUAAAUACCACUUAGUGACCGAUAGCGCAUAGUACUGUGAAGGAAAGGUGAAAAGGACCCCGGGAGGGGAGUGAAAGAGAACCUGAAACCCUGUGUCUACAAGCUGUGGGAGUGCCAUAUGAGCACAACCGCGUACUUUUUGUAGAACGGUCCGGCGAGUUGCGCACACUGGCAAGGUUAAGGACUCAAGGUCCGGAGCCGUAGGGAAACCAAGUCUUAAUAGGGCCAGAGUCAGUGUGGGCAGACCCGAAACCGGGUGAUCUAUCCAUGUCCAGGUNUAGAGAUACAAGGAAGUUCGGUUCACUAAAUUCGAUGACAUCAAAGAUGUCCUCUCAUUAAGUUCCUCCGAACAAAGUUCGUACUAAAUUCGUACGGCGGUAAACCUUGUACUCAUUAAGUACUCUACUUUUCUGGUGGCGAUGCGCUUGUGGGAAACACCCGUUCCCAUCCCGAACACGACGGUUAAGACGCAAGCGGCCGAUGGUACUGCACUGGAGACGGUGUGGGAGAGCAGGUGGCCGCCAGAUUAAGAAAAAAACAACAGACAGGUGUCUGAUGAAUAUAGAAGCUGGUUUUACCAGUGAUAUAAGAAGAAAAAGAUUUUUCCUCUUAUAUGACUGAUAAAAAUUCAGUCAACAUCGUACCUUGAAAACUGCAUACAUGUAAAUUUGAUUAACUAAUCAAAUAUCCUUGAUAUACAAACGUAAGAUAGGAAGACAUCGAUAAAUUUAUUUAUCAAAAGCAACGAGAAUCAAAGACCGCUGAUACCUACGCUAGGGUAUCAGAAGCAAAUGGUCAAGCAGAAAGGGCACAGGGCGGAUGCCUUGGCACUAAGGGCCGAAGAAAGACGUGAUAAGCUGCGAUAAGCUUCGGGGAGGAGCAAAUAUCCAUUGAUCCGGAGAUCUCUGAAUGGGGAAACCCACAUGAGCAAACCUCAUGUAUCCAUACGCCAAUCCAUAACGUAUGGAGGGGAACCCGGGGAACUGAAACAUCUAAGUACCCGGAGGAAAAGAAAGAAAACUCGAUUCCGUAAGUAGCGGCGAGCGAACGCGGAAGAGCCUAAACCAGGUCGCGUGCGAUCUGGGGNAAGCAACUGUUUAGCAAAAACACAGGUCUAUGCGAAACCGUAAGGUGAGGUAUAUGGGCUGACGCCUGCCCGGUGCUGGAAGGUUAAGAGGAGAGGUUAGCGCAAGCGAAGCUUUGAAUUUAAGCCCCAGUAAACGGCGGCCGUAACUAUAACGGUCCUAAGGUAGCGAAAUUCCUUGUCGGGUAAGUUCCGACCCGCACGAAAGGCGUAAUGAUUUGAGCGCUGUCUCGACAAUGCAUCCGGUGAAAUUGAAGUACCAGUGAAGAUGCUGGUUACCUGCGCCAGGACGGAAAGACCCCAUGGAGCUUUACUCCAGUUUGGUACUGGGAUCCGGUACUGCAUGUACAGGAUAGGUGGGAGGCUAUGAAAUGGUAACGCCAGUUGCCAUGGAGCCGCUGUUGGGAUACCACCCUUGCAGUAUUGGGUUUCUAACCAGCCGCCGUGACCCGGCGGUGGGACAAUGCCAGACGGGGAGUUUGACUGGGGCGGUCGCCUCCGAAAGGGUAUCGGAGGCGCCCAAAGGUUCCCUCAGGAUGGACGGAAACCAUCCAAAGAGUGCAAAGGCAGAAGGGAGCUUGACUGCGACACCGACGGGUGGAGCAGGUACGAAAGUAGGGCUUAGUGAUCCGGUGGUAUUAAGUGGGAAUGCCAUCGCUCAACGGAUAAAAGCUACCCUGGGGAUAACAGGCUUAUCACUCCCAAGAGUUCACAUCGACGGAGUGGUUUGGCACCUCGAUGUCGGCUCAUCGCAUCCUGGGGCUGUAGUAGGUCCCAAGGGUUGGGCUGUUCGCCCAUUAAAGCGGUACGCGAGCUGGGUUCAGAACGUCGUGAGACAGUUCGGUCCCUAUCCGGCGUGGGCGUAGGAUAUCUGAGAGGAGCUGUCCUUAGUACGAGAGGACCGGGAUGGACGGGCCGCUGGUGCACCGGUUAGACUGCCAAGUCUAUAGCCGGGUAGCCAAGCCCGGAAGGGAUAAACGCUGAAGGCAUCUAAGCGUGAAGCCCCCCUCAAGAUGAGAUAUCCCAUCCGAAAGGAGUAAACCCCCUUGAAGACGACGAGGUUGAUAGGGCAGGGGUGGAAGUGUGGUAACACAUGGAGCUGACUGCUACUAAUAGGGUGAGGGCUUGACCAA
rnacentral:rRNA from 1 species